GCAAGUCGAACGGCAGCACAGGAGAGCUUGCUCUCUGGGUGGCGAGUGGCGGACGGGUGAGGAACACAUCGGAAUCUACUCUGUCGUGGGGGAUAACGUAGGGAAACUUACGCUAAUACCGCAUACGACCUACGGGUGAAAGUGGGGGACCUUCGGGCCUCACGCGAUUGAAUGAGCCGAUGUCGGAUUAGCUAGUUGGCGGGGUAAAGGCCCACCAAGGCGACGAUCCGUAGCUGGUCUGAGAGGAUGAUC
rnacentral:rRNA from 1 species